CAGCCGCCGCGGUAAUACGUAGGUGGCAAGCGUUGUCCGGAAUUAUUGGGCGUAAAGGGCUCGCAGGCGGUUUCUUAAGUCUGAUGUGAAAGCCCCCGGCUCAACCUAGGAAUUGCAUUUGAUACUGUUUGGCUUGAGUUCGGGAGAGGUGAGUGGAAUUCCCAGUGUAGAGGUGAAAUUCGUAGAUAUUGGGAAGAACACCAGUGGCGAAGGCGGCUCACUGGACGACUGUUGACGCUGAGGUACGAAAGCGUGGGGAGCAAACAGGAUUAGAUACCCCUGUAGUCCCUGUCUCUUAUAC
rnacentral:rRNA from 1 species